CUACGGGUGGCAGCAGUGAGGAAUAUUGGUCAAUGGGCUUACGCCUGAACCAGCCAAGUCGCGUGAGGGAAGACUGCCCUAUGGGUUGUAAACCUCUUUUGUCAGGGAGCAACGCCGGCUACGUGUAGCCGGACUGAGAGUACCUGAAGAAAAAGCAUCGGCUAACUCCGUGCCAGCAGCCGCGGUAAUACGGAGGAUGCGAGCGUUAUCCGGAUUUACUGGGUGUAAAGGGCGUGUAGCCGGGCUGACAAGUCAGAUGUGAAAUCCGGGGGCUCAACCCCCGAACUGCAUUUGAAACUGUUGGUCUUGAGUAUCGGAGAGGCAGGCGGAAUUCCUAGUGUAGCGGUGAAAUGCGUAGAUAUUAGGAGGAACACCAGUGGCGAAGGCGGCCUGCUGGACGACAACUGACGGUGAGGCGCGAAAGCGUGGGGAGCAAACAGGAUUAGAUACCCGGGUAGUC
rnacentral:rRNA from 1 species